CUAUCUAAAGUUAUAGCAACUGAACCAGGAAGACAGUUUUAUAGCUAGAAAUUUCUGUUACAGGCAUCCAAUUGUUAGAAAAGUUCCUGUGCAGAAACCAUGUGUGUGUUGUGGGCCUACAACCAUGGCAGCUAUUCAAAUAUUAAAGAGUGGGGGGUCUUCCUGGCAUCCCAUAAUUCUGUGCACCAUCUUUAUGAUUCCCAUGCUUCAGGAGACACUGUAGUCUUUCAGCAACGAGAGAGGCAGCUGACUCCAACCCUGGAAGCACUGGAAUAAGCAGAAACUCAGGAGAGAAUAUACCUCUGGGAAAAAAUAAUUACAGGAUUUGAAUCAACCUUUCUAGGGCAUUUCAGAAGUUGCCACAGCUGUCUAAAACUGAACUGUGCAGUUUAAGGUGAGUAUAUUUAAGAAUCAGAGCCUGGAAACAUCCAUUCAGACUGAGGCCUCACUCUUCG
rnacentral:lncRNA from 1 species